AUGGCGGAAGUGCGACAACAGGUUCCUGGUGGCGUGGGCGGCGCCCAGCGCCCCCGUGCUGGUAGGUCGGUGGGGGCGGCGGCGCCUUGGGUAGGACACCCGGUGGGAGGAGGCGCGCUGGGCGGCGAGAUCCAGGGAGGAGGAGGGUGGCGGCGCGAUCCAGGGAGGAGGGCGGCGGCGGUCAGGGAAGGGGAUCGGGGUAGCGGCUGUGGUGGGGUGGGCUUUUCUAUAAAAAUCGGUCCGGUGGGCUUUUCGGGAUCUUAG
rnacentral:rRNA from 1 species